UGUUGCAACCAUAGUUCAAAUGCCCAAAACUUGACUCGAAGACUCAAAGAAGUCUUAAAUCGACUUGACUCAAUAUUAUAAUAUGUAGUUCAAGAAUUAAGUAACAUGAAUAAAUCUUUAAAAUCAUAAUAUAUAAAAUUAUCUAAAAAAAUACAACUUUGAUUGGGGAAUGCUGGUAACAUAUUACACUUGCCAAGCACUGGUUCUUGUUGGCUAUCUUUCUUUAUAACCAAAAGCCCCUGUCUGGGUUAUUUGACUUGGACACCGAGUCAUUUCGAGUAGGCCGAGAUAUCAAGCUGAUCCUACAAGUCUUGUUGAGUUUGGAGUGAGUCAAGCUAGUGAAAAUUUCUUAGAGAUCCCACCCAAAACCUCGUUGGGUCAAGUUGAUUCGGCUAAGUUUUGACUUGAGUUGGUGAGUUACAAAAACAUGCUUGCAAGAGAUCAAUUGUCUGGAUCACUGAA